AUGCCGGUGACUUAUCGGACUCCGGCGACGGCGGCGGCGGCGGCGAAAGUGCGUCGGGGCGUCUGGGCGUCGGGGAGCUCCGGCGACUCCCAGGGCCUCGGCUUCGCUUCGGAAGGGCAUCGGGGGCGGUCGGGGGAUCCCGGAUCCUUCGGGAUCCGGUCGAUCUCCGGCGAGGUCGGUGGCGUGGGCGAGGGGGGAAGGAGAGGGGCGGGGCCCACGGGUCAGCGAGAGGGAGAGAGGGGCGAGGGGGUCGGGUGGCCGAUGCCAACGGUGAAUCCUACGACCGAUGAGCUUAUUAGCCUAGAUAUGAUACUGAUGGAUGAGCAGUUAAAGGAAAUAAAAGGAUCUUCGGAAGUUUUCCCGGAAUAUUACUUUGAGUUUGCUACCAUGGACACACUAGAAGAAAGGGCGGAAAAAGAUACACAAUGCUCAGAUGUCAUUGGACUACUAACUCAAAUGAAGCCAGUGGAGACAAGAAUAACAAAAAGGAACCCACAACCUUCAUAUAUCCGCAAGAUUGAAAUCCUAAUGCCAGAGGGUGAUAAAAUCAGAAUCACGUUGUGGGGAAAGUUUGCUUAUUUUUUGACCGAGGAUGUAAUCGGCAGCCAAACUGUCCUUAUUAUCACAUCAACGAUGGUGCAGAGAUUCAAUGGUUUGUGCCUAAAGUCAACGAGUGCCACAAGGAUAUAUAUAGAUCUGGAUAUACCAGAAAUACAAGAACUUCUUGAUAGGAACUCAGCCGAAGAAACCUUACCAAAGAUGGGCAGUAUAGAUAGAAGUAAUCAAGGAACACUAGAAGAACAGAUGUUUUAUAGGAGGAGAACAUUAGAAGAACUUACUGCAAUGAGGCACGGAAACCAGCCAGACCAGGAAUCAUGUGUUAGGUACCCUGUUCGACUCCAAAUUAGUGACCAUACAUCUACUACAAGUUGCACUUUAUUUGAUGAGGAGGCUACAAGAUUGCUUAAUACAUCUGCAUCUAAUCUGCUGGACACACAGGAUGGGAAAUCGGAAGAAGCGCCAAAGAUUAUUCAACAAUUAUGUGGAAAAAGACUCAUAUUUAGAUUCAAGCUCAAUGAUAAUAAUCUAACAUUUGGCACACAAAACUAUGCCGUAAAAAGAACAUUUGUGCCUGAUGAUAGGCUUGAGAUGCUCUAUUUGGACAAUAAAGCCGAGGAGUCAUAG
rnacentral:rRNA from 1 species